UGCUUGACUGGAACACACGAUCAAAGGCAUAAGGCUUGGACUAAAAAAAUGAAAACAGAAGAGUUUCACAAAUUACAGGGUGGGGUAGAAGUUGGGCUGCACAUGUAGAGGUCAGAGGACAACUUUCGGAAGUCAACUCUCUGCUGCUACAGUGCUCCCCAGAGCAUGGACUUCCGGACAAAGUCCUAGACUGCAUCUUUAACAUGGAAGAUCACCUGCAUUUCUGCUACAGGGAAGGAGAAGAUGCAAUGGCUCCUUUCAAGGCUGUGCAACAUGAGCAUUCACAGUAGUUGAUACCCACAACUAUACGUAGGGAUGCAAGAGACCAUGCAGUAGCCUUAAGAUGGUUACAGCACCUUGCCCUAGCCACAUUCAAGGUCGCUUGAAACAAGAAUGUUACAGGAAGGGGCCAGUGAGAUGGUUCAGUGGCUAAAGGUGCCUGAAGCCACAUCUGGCAACCUGAGUUUGAUGUGUGGGACCAAUGAGGUGGAGGGAAGAAUGACUCCUCCCACAAGUUGUUCUCUGACCUUUACAGGUGGUUCCUCAGACCCUAUUCAACUGUCUCGCUUGUUGGGGCAAACUGGCGCCCAAACAGGGACUCCAGGGGAUCACAGAGGAGAGAACACCGCUCAUCACUAGAGAGUAGACCUAUCUGCUCAUCUUGAGAAGCACCAGAAAGUGACUUCAGUUUGGCACGAUGCCAUGGACCAACCCACCAUAAGACAGUCCGGGAGGAAUAAGUCAAGCGGCGCAGAUCUUAGGAGAAAUACUGGAAGACAUGGGACAAGCUUUCAAAGCAGUCACUUUUUGUGAUAGGGCUCAAGGAGUCACUCAAAACAAGGAACUAGGGUUAAAAAAAGGAUUUAAUAAAAUAUUUAGAUUUUGUGGGAGACAUUUGUCCUUAGUUCCCCCAAGAGGGGACAAUUGAUGAGAAACGCUGGCGCAGAGUUGGUGAUUGUUUCAAUGAUUAUUAUAAAGCAUUUGGACCUGCAAAAAUACCUGUUACUGCCUUUAGCUACUGGUCCCUUAUUAAUGACGUUUUUGGAAUCACCCCUGAAUGGCCGGAUCUCCAGAAUUUAGUGUCUGAGGGAGAACGAUCUCUUAAGAAAUCCACCUCCCCCUUCGCCCUCCUCCACCAUCACUGUUGCUGGAAGAGCAGUUUCUUAGAGAAUCUGUCUCCCAUCCUCCUUCAGCUAAUCUAGUAACUCAUAAUCCUUUAAGAGAAGAAUCUUUGCUGCUCUGCCUUCUGUGGCUGAUGGUAUCACGGGUCUCCCCUAUUUUCUCCAGUCACUAGAGGCCAAAUGGCUUGAUCUAACACCUCCCCCCCUGCUCCUGCCUCCAUGUGCACCUAUAGACGCUGCUGCACCAGAGCAAUGUGUCUUACUGAGAUGUGUUCUGUGUAGGCUGUGUCAGUUGCUCCAAACCACUCCACAUCUGACCUGACUGACAUUCAUUUGAAUACUGUGGAUUUAUUUUCUGCUGCCUUUUCUGGUGGCAGUGAUUUCCAGAGCUAGCUGUGUAUCCCCUGUAUAGGGUAAUAGAAGUCACAAGGGGGAACUGUUUGCAAAACUAUCUGGGCCUCUAUGUAUUGCUUUUAGAGUUUUCCUGAUUUUUAGCAGCUGUCCUGGAAUUCUUAAGUUUGAUGAGAUUUAAAACCCCUGCUCUGUAAAUAUCCUCCUCCACUGCUAACUGGCUGAGCCAACCCAAAGUUCCCUCCAUCCCUUCUGCUCUGUCUGUGGCAGCUGCUGCUGGUGCUGCCAAUGCACAGACAGCCUGGUUCCAGUGGAGCUGAGGUCUUGACGCCGGUGGAACCUGAUGGGUAAUAAUUUCCAUUUACAUGGGACAGUAGGCAUUCGAUCAUGUUUCCUGGACCCUUGGCUCCUGUCGAAGUUACUGCCUCCACAGUCCCCACAGGAGAGGCUC